rnacentral:tRNA from 1 species
GGGAAUGUGGCUUAUUGGCAGAGUGCUUGCCUAGCAAGCAUGAGGCCCUGGGUUCAAUUCCUGGUAUCA